UACGGAGGGUGCAAGCGUUAUCCGGAUUUACUGGGCUUAAAGGGUGCGUAGGUGGGUCUGUAAGUCAGUGGUGAAAUCUCCGGGCUUAACUCGGAAACUGCCAUUGAUACUAUAGGUCUUGAAUUAUCUGGAGGUGAGCGGAAUAUGUCAUGUAGCGGUGAAAUGCUUAGAUAUGACAUAGAACACCAAUUGCGAAGGCAGCUCUCUACGGAUAUAUUGACACUGAGGCACGAAAGCGUGGGGAUCAAACAGG
rnacentral:rRNA from 1 species